GAUGAACGCUGGCGGCGUGUCUAAUACAUGCAAGUCGAGCGAACGGACGAGAAUCUUGCUUUUCUGAUGUUAGCGGCGGACGGGUGAGUAACACGUGGAUAACCUACCUAUAAGACUUGGAUAACUUCGGGAAACCGGAGCUAAUACCGGAUAAUAUUUUGAACAGCAUGGUUCAAAAGUGAAAGACGGUCUUGCUGUCACUUAUAGAUGGAUCCGCGCUGCAUUAGAUAGUUGGUAAGGUAACGGCUUACCAAGGCAACGAUGCAUAGCCGACCUGAGAGCGAGAUCGUCAACACUGGAACCGAGACCCCGUCCAGACGCCUACGCGAGGCAGCAGUAGGCAAUCUUCCGCAAUGGGCGAAAGCAUGACGGAGCAACGCCGCGUGAGUGAUGAAGGUCCUCGGAUCGUAAAACUCUGUUCUUAGGGAAGAACAUAUGUGUAAGUACCUGUGCACAUCUUGCCGGUACCUAAUCAGAAAGCCCCGGCUAACUACGUG
rnacentral:rRNA from 1 species